rnacentral:rRNA from 1 species
GAUGAACGCUGGCGGCGUGCCUAAUACAUGCAAGUCGAGCGAACGGACGAGAAUCUUGCUUCUCUGAUGUUAGCGGCGGACGGGUGAGUAACACGUGGAUAACCUACCUAUAAGACUGGGAUAACUUCGGGAAACCGGAGCUAAUACCGGAUAAUAUUUUGAACCGCAUGGUUCAAAAGUGAAAGACGGUCUUUCUGUCACUUAUAGAUGGAUCCGCGCUGCAUUAGCUAGUUGGUAAGGUAACGGCUUACCAAGGCAACGAUGCAUAGCCGACCUGAGAGGGUGAUCGGCCACACUGGAACUGAGACACGGUCCAGACUCCUACGGGAGGCAGCAGUAGGGAAUCUUCCGCAAUGGGCGAAAGCCUGACGGAGCAACGCCGCGUGAGUGAUGAAGGUCUUCGGAUCGUAAAACUCUGUUAUUAGGGAAGAACAUAUGUGUAAGUAACUGUGCACAUCUUGACGGUACCUAAUCAGAAAGCCACGGCUAACUACGUG